rnacentral:rRNA from 1 species
UACGUAGGGUGCAAGCGUUGUCCGGAAUUAUUGGGCGUAAAGAGCUCAUAGGCGGUUUGUCGCGUCUGCUGUGAAAACUCGGGGCUUAACCCCGAGCCUGCAGUGGAUACUGGCAGACUAGAGGUAGGUAGGGGAGAAUGGAAUUCCCGGUGUAGCGGUGAAAUGCGCAGAUAUCGGGAGGAACACCGGUGGCGAAGGCGGUUCUCUGGGCCUUACCUGACGCUGAGGAGCGAAAGCGUGGGGAGCGAACAGG